UAAUUAUGUUGUAUAACUCAAUGUUUUUACUCUGGAACAAGAUGUCUAUUGUGUUGUAUUUUGAAUUUUGAGUAGCGGUUUUCAACCGUUUUACCGUCGUGAGUGCCGUGGGAAAAAUAUUUGAAGUAAACAGAAAAGUUGGUGUAUUAUUUGUUUUGUGAUCUUAUUUAUUAUUUUUUUUUGUUAAUUUCAUACGUCGAUUGAGUCAUUACCUUUACUUUGUUGUUUAAUUUCAAUUAAAAGUUGCUAUUAUAGGACAUUUGUGCUGCAGUUUUUUCAAUUGUUCCAUCAGUAGACAAUAGAUAAGCAAAUCCCUAAAAUUGCUACAAAAAUGGAGUCAAUGGAAGACCGCAUUAACAAGCUAAGGGAAGAGCGAAUAGCGAGGGAAAAGGCGCGGAUUGAGAAGUUACGGGAGCUGAAUCUCAAAAAGUACAACAAAAUUGAACCACAGUUGAAGAAUGCGCCAUCAAAUACAACAAUAAAUAAACCAAUUAAAAAUGACAAAUUUGAUCAGCACAAAAAGGCAUCUUCCGUGGUAAAAAAUAAUUUUCAUGUCAAUGGUACUACUAAAAAACCAAUAACAAUGCCAAUUGUUAAAAAGACUUCAUCAGCAAUAGAUGCGAAACCAAAGAAUAAAUUUGAUACUAAUCCAAAAAUUGAUAAAUCAAUGACUGAAAAACCCAAAAGUGAGGGUAAUAAGAUUGCAAAUGCUACAAGCUCUAAAACUGCCUUGAAUGACCGAAAAGAGGUAAAAUCAGCUAAAUUUGAGCCUAAACUUGCCAGGAAAAGCCUUGCUGUUCCUAAAAGAGCCGUUUCUCAACCUACCACAGUGAGUCGUAAGAGUAUGCUACCUAAACCAUUGCAGACAUCCUCGGAAACAGUGUUUGACCGUCUCUACAAACCGAAAAUGGUGACUAAGGAGCACCUUGAUUCUGUGAAAAAGUUGCAAACUGAUCCAAAUUAUUUGCAAAGGGUUAUUAAAAACUCAGGACUAAUUUUAAAUAAAAGGCACACUUUAUUUGAAACAAAACAAAAGCCAAAUGUACCAGUACGUAGGUCGAUAUCAGCAGUGCAUUUCAAACGAAUAAGCAAGAAUGAGAUCCAAAACUGCAUCCAUAAAUGGUCAUCUAUUGGUGAUAAAAUGAAUAAUGUUCACUUAAAAGACAUUAAUGAAGAUGAAAAUAUAAAAGAGGACAAGGUUGUCUCUGCAGUUAAAUCUGAAAGGAAGCGAGUGACUUUCAUGACACCAGUGCCGCAGAAUUUCAACACUCCACGCCCAGAAGAGCUUCAAGCAAGGCUUAAAAACUGGCUCUACAAGCGUGGAAAGUCGCUGGACUCAUACCAUCAUUUACAGUGCUUCGGUAUUAAUCACCUAGUGCCUAGGGAUUUGAAGCUUGACUUUGAGGCUAUUAAAUAUGAUGAUGAUGAAAAUAAGGAGAAUAUUGCACUGGAAUCAGACAGUGAUGAUGAUUCAGUGAGCGAGAUGCAUGGGAAAGAGAGUGUUGUUGGUAUGUGGAGAAGGGCCAGCAAUAUAAGUGAGAGUGUAGACCUGAAUGAAACAACGGACACAAUGGUGACUACUGAAGAGCCAGAUAAUGUUGAUGAUGUGGUUGUCGGUGCUUUGAAUGAUCUCACCGAGUUAUUGAAGGAGGGCUUCGAAUGGGAACAAUGCGCGCGCUGGCUCCGCGCUAUCCGAGAGCGUUUCCCAGCUGCCAGUAAUACAGCCGCGUACUGGGAGUGCCGCGCCGCGCUAGAGGAAACCCGUGGCGAUUUGCCUGCGUCCGUGCAAUGUUGGGAGGAAGCAAUCGCCAAGGGUACAGAGCAUUCAGUAGUCGAGGCGAAUCUGGACCAGUUACUGGACAAGUUCAUGCAAUUAAAGAUAAGUCCGAACAGUGGCAAGCGGCGACAAGCCGACCCAAAGAUGGUGGACGUCAAAAACGUUUUCAAAAGUACCAUCAUACGGUUCGCAGUACAGCAGGCUAAAUUGUAAAACAAGUAUUGUUAUUGAGUUACAAAGAGGAAUAUUGACAUCAGUUUUGUGGCGAAAGUAAAUCAUACGCCAAUCCAACGGCAGUCCUCGCUUCACGGCUACCCCUGUGCGUCGCAGCGGUCGGCUCAGCACCCACCCCACGCCGCUCCGCCUGUGCUCAAGUGUUAAACAGCUGCGAGAAACGUACGGUGCGGG
rnacentral:misc_RNA from 1 species